UCCCUGGUGGCUCAGAUGGUAAAGAAUCUGCUUGCAAUGCAGGAGACCUAGGUUCGAUCCCUAGGUUGGGAA
rnacentral:tRNA from 1 species